UACAGGGGAGGCAAGCGUUGUUCCGGAUUUACUGGGCGUAAAGGGCGCGUAGGCGGCCACCGCAAGUCGACUGUGAAAUCUCCGGGCUUAACCCGGAAAGGUCAGCCGAUACUGCGGGGCUAGAGUGCAGAAGGGGCAACUGGAAUUCUCGGUGUAGCGGUGAAAUGCGUAGAUAUCGAGAGGAACACCUGCGGCGAAGGCGGGUUGCUGGGCUGACACUGACGCUGAGGCGCGAAAGCGUGGGAGCAAACGGG
rnacentral:rRNA from 1 species